ACACACUGUUGAUCUAAUCGGGUUUCCGCUUUCCAUCUCCUCAACUUUGAGCGGUUUCUUUUCCAAUCUUGACGCACACAUCGGCCUCCUGUUUAUCGUCCUCGUACUGUUCUCCAUCUUCAAGAAGCAACCAGGGAAUGCCGUCGUAUAUCGCGCUCGGGCCAUGUCGAGGGAUGAGGGGGCUUUCCCCCCCGCUACCAGGAAGACGCCUUCUCGUUCCGCAGGUUUCUUCCUUCUUUCGAGCGGGUAGGGCCGGCGUUUCGGGUAACAGAGGACGACUUCAUGAGGAACUGCGGCCUGGACGCCUUGGUGGUCAUUAGGCUCUUCAAAUUUGGGUAGCCUUCUUUUGCUAUUUUCGGAUGUUGUUGGAUUUUUUCUUCCUUCUUGUUCUUCUGGGAAUUUGGUGUCUGGGGCAAGAAGAUUGUUGCUGUGUUUCCCCUUUUGAAACGGUUUCUUGAAGUUGGGUGAGGGGAAAUCCUGCGAGGAAGUAUCACCUUAAGGUCUUUAAAAUCUGAUGGGACACAGUUCGAUUUGUGUUGUGUAGCGGCAGAGAUUUCUAUCCGUCUAACAAUUUUUUCUGACUUUUUCACACUUGGUCAAUAGAAAUCGUUGGUUCACUCAUUGUUCAUCACGUUUGAUGGGCCUUUGCGGUAUGGUCUUGUUCUUCUGAUGGUAAAGAGGUUUGCCUUUUUCUUUUUCCUUGUCAUGAUCCAUCGGCUUACUUUCCUUUUUCUUGGCUCUGUUUCUUUUCCUAUGUCUGUUCCUUCUUUUUGUUGAAUUCCAGUUUGAUGGGUUUCGGAUGUGGUUUGUGCUCUGUGUUUACAUCCUGCAAGUGAACUCUUUUCUUUCUUUCUGUCCGGAUCAAUGAUUCUUGUUUUUUUCCCGUCAAAUCCUUAUUCUUCUUUUGAAAUUCUAUCGACAGCAUAAUUUAUGCAUGAGAUAUUCUCAUAUUUGCAGUAAGCAUGUUUUUUGGACCGUUCUGUAUGAAACUAUGAUUGACCAUAUUUGCAUUUCUGUGCUUUUUCUUCUUCAGCACAAAGCUUUUUGUGCCGUGUUCAGUAGUCGGAUUACUGGUGCUUGUGCCUGUUAAUUGCACAAGUCAAAAGAGAUCCUCCAGCAUCACCCUUUCAUAUUCGAUUGAUUCUUUUACCAUAUCGAAUAUUGGAAGACGAUCUAAUAGGUAAUACUUUCUUGGGUUAUAUGAAUGUUAACAAGAAUUAUUAUUCCUUAUGAUUUCCUGAAAAACAUUGUUCUUCACGCGUACUAUUUGGUGAACUCCUUUUAAAUUCACAAAUUAUUACUUUAAUCUUGAGUAGGUUUGUUUUGUUGCAAUGGUGAAGUACACAAUUCGUAACUUGUACGUGAGGAUGAAAGAAAGCCGAUGCUCUACACUGAUCAUUAUCGUUUGAUUCAUUUUGCUGCAGAAUUGUCGGGGCUCUUUCCUUGCUGGCAUUCUUUUCAUUUUAGUGAAUGUUUUAUGUCAUAUGCUUCUUUUCAUCAGAUAGUACUUUUAAUUCUUUGACUAACGGGUUCCCAGCUUUCUUUAAUAGAAUGCAUCUCGAUCAUAUAUUUAAUAGGCCAUUUUCAUCCAUCAUCUUAGGGAAACAUAAAAAGAGUACUUACUUUGACAUGGAAUAAGACCGGGGCAGAGUUAAAUGUGGGCUUGUGUGGCAGUUGCCCACACGGUCCACAAAAGUUUAUGGAUUUACAUAUUCUUUAGCGCCAACUGUUUGCUUAUUUAUUCUCCUUCGACGUAUUUAAAACUUUGGAUUUUUUGCUAUUCGUUCUUGUUUGGAGCUUGAUUUAACAACCUUGGAAUGACUGCCCAGAUGAUGCAAUAUUUUAAUGAUAUUUUAGAUGAAAAAGUCACACUUAUGACACUUCAUUGUGCAUCUUGAUGCACCGUGGCUGUAGAAUCGAACCAUGUACUACUGGUGAUAUGCACUGCGAUUCAGUUGGAGUAACUUUGCUAUGUUAUAGAGCAUAUUGCUUAGUGUUUUAUGCAAUUUAUACCUAAAAUCCUAUGACUUCAAGAUCAGCAGUAUUGUGAGGUGAAGAUAUUGUGGAAGAGCUUUUAUGUUCAUCAGGGGCGCACAUGCAUACACGAUCAUGUGCAUACACGAAUUGCAGAUGAAGUGUUCUUUCAUCAAUCAUGUGCAUACACGAAUUGCAGAUGAAGUGUUCUUUCAUCCAUGCAUGCAAAUGUUGGGAUAAAUAGUAAUUACCAUAUUAUGAUUUUGCAUUUUAAAUUUUGUUUUAGUUAACCUUCAUGAUUUUUUUUCCGGCUUGUAUAUCCUUCAAUAUUCCUCUUGAAUUUUCCAAGUUAUUUAAUUCAGUAUUCUGCAUUGUAUGUUUUACACAUAAAACGAAAAUAUAGGUUGAGCUCCAAACAGUUGAUGGGCUAGUGAAAGAAAGCACUCAGUGUGCUCCAAAUGGUUAUUAUUUCAUUCCAGUUUAUGAUAAGGUAUCAGAAAAAGGUUCAUUAGCUUUCUUAUUUUUCUGGUUGCCUGGACGUUUUGUAAGUUUUUUGCUGGAAGUGUUAUAGUAAAUUAAACUGCAGUGCUGUUCCACUCCUAACAGAUGUUUCCAUCGGUUUUGUUCACUGUUUCUGUAAAUGUCUCUCUUCUUCAUUUAAUGAUUCCAAGAGUUUCCUGAAUCAAGCUGCUGAAUUUUGUCACAACAUAUUUUUCUGUCAUGUAAAACUCAAGCCUCUGCAGUUUAUAACUGUUUUCUGCAUCAAAAACUUAUUACUUUUUAAUGCUGCUCACUUUUUGAUAAAUCAAUAGCUUCUGGUUGCUAUAGUAUCUGUUGGUCCUUUGUGCAGCUUUCAUGUUCAUUUACGUGCAACUUUCAUGUUCAUUUAGGUUUUAGGACACUUAAUAUAUAAAAAAUACCCCUUUGAUAUGAAACAUCUGAUAAUGAAUAUGGUUCGGGAACUUUAGAGUUUAGAGAUUUACUCUUCAUUAUAGUAAAUGGGUAAGAAGGCAGGUUGAUUAUUACAAAGUGAAAGGUUGUUUUGUAUAUUUUGCUAAGCAACAUGGGGUAUGGGAAUUGCCCUGGAGUAUCUGUGUUGGAAUGGCUUUUUUUGACACAGAUAUGCCUGGGGCCCUGAGCGAUUGGGUAUGUUAGAUGAGAUUUGGUCAGAUCCAAUCCAAAACAUUAAACUUAAGAAAGGGAAAAAGAAUAACACCCUUACCAUGUACAGUUUACCAGCGAGAGAGAGAGAGAGAGAGAGAGAGAGAGAGAGAGAGAGAGAGAGAGAGUACCAGCAAGAAGAAUCUGAUGGUAGCGAGUUAAGACACCAGAGGGCAAGGGGUGAGCCACCAAUGGGGGCAGAUAACUUGCAAGAGAGAGAUUGCGUGAACCGAUGGCCUCCUAGAGCUGGGUUUCCUCUCCUUCAUAAUGACUGAUGAAGAGAACCUGUAUAUAUAUGCUGCUGUGUUUUAACCCAUAUUGUCAAUUGUCAUAGAUGCACCCACACUCAUAACCAUAUCCAUGUGACACAGAUAUUUUGGUGGUGAGGUGGGCUGAAUUGGCUGUUUCUGCUGAAGAUCAGCUUUUAGUGAUUGUCUUAGACUUAGUUGUUCAGUUUCUCAAUUUUUUGUACAAAAAUGUAAAAUGUUCUUAUGAAUCACUAACUUAGAACUCCAACUCCUUUUUGAUAUUGAAGAAAGACUUUUGUGUUUGGCUUGUUUCUAGAAAGAAAACAACCUUAAGGUACUUGGUCUAUGUUCUUUUAUCUAUGUUUGGAACUUUAUAAUUCAGUCCUUAUGGUUUUCUAUUGCAUAAGGUAAUUAAGAACAUUAACUUAUGGGCAUUUAUAAUCUAGUAUGGUCUUUUGGGGAUAUUACCCGAAUGUGCCAGUCACUGCCAAGUAUAUUCCAUGUAUUUGUGCAAUAUUUAGCUAAGACUCUAACAUGUGCGGUAUCAAGAUGUCAGGUGCUUUCGUAGAGACGUAUACACACACACACAUGCUUACAUUUUCGCAUAUAAUGAGCUACCAAUUCAUCUAAGAGACAAAGGAAUAAAUGCUGUGGCAGCUUAAAGCCUUAGGCAGAAAGGAUCUCUUCUCUUACUAACAUUAUCCAUGUUCACUAUGUUGCUGAUGUCCUUUGUACUUACUAACAUUGUGUAUCUUGUGUUGUAACUUUAGGGUUCUUUUGUUGUCCAAAUUAAGGGACCUCAUGGAUGGUCAUGGGAGCCAGAUCAUGUACGUUGCUGCUUUCUGGUCCCAUGCUUGCCUUUAAAAUUAUGUUCUCUAUUUACUUGUUGUCUUUUGUUAACUCCUUCAGUUACUUUCCUGAACCUUCUUACUUUUGGUAUGUGACAUGCGAACUUUGGCUGCCAAUAUUAUCGUGUUUUAAAUUAAGCUCAUGACUACACGGAAGCUUGCAUUCUUCUGCAACUGACAAAGCAUUAGUUUUGGUCUGUUGGCAACUAGAUCCCUGUUUCUUUUUCUAGUUAGGUAUGUCCCUGAACUUUCAGUGAAAACGUGUAAAUAUGGUAAAGGAUUCUCUUGAUGUGGAUCCAACUUCCACGUAAACUAUUUGGCAGUAUAUAUAUGCCAAGGGCUUGAGGUUGUAAUUGCUGGUUAAAGUAGUCCUGUAUAGACUGAUUUGCUAUAAUUGGAAAGGUUUGGAUUGUGGGUCUUCUGGAAAGUUUUUCUCAUCCCCACACCCAAAAAAAAAAAACACACCCUUCCCACCCUUAGGACUAGCUUGACGCAACUGUAGGACCUGAAGACACUUUCAGCAAAAGCUUGUUAUCUCAUCUGAAGCCAAUGGAAUGUUAAAGAUGUUACCGCAGGAACUGGGAUAUAGUGGAGCAGCACAAUAAGGAUUUGAUAACGAACUUCCCACAUUACUCUCAAUAACUGAGCAUAAAAGAUUGUAGUUAGCUGGCAGGAGAAAGAAGAUGUGAGGUGUGGGAUAGUGUGAAGAUGAAGAACAGUUAUGAGGAGGAUGAAGGAACCUCUGUGCUGUGUUGACAGUGCAUACAGAUUCAGCUCUGGGCAGAUUAAGGAGCUGAGAUUGCUGAUUUUGAUAAAACAGGAGUUGUACCGGAGCCUGUGUUCCAUUUAUUACUAGAAAAUAUGGGAGUUGUUCGACAAGGCUGAUGUCAACCAGUAAUUUUUCAAUCUAUUCUACGUUUAAGUUGAAGGUUGUUAAUCACAUCCAUAUUUUAGUGUAUAAGAUGAUGGAAGCAUCUUUUCUACCGUUGAUUUUAUAGAUGACUAUGCCACACAGGUACUUGUCAAAGGCCCAAGUACACACAUAUUGUGUACAUAUAUCAUAUAUAAUAUAUGUAAUAUACUUGUAUAUGUCAUAUCUAACAAUAUAUUAUAUGUAUACAUAUAAUUUAUAUGUAAUAUUGCUUAUAAUAUAUUGCAUAUAUUAUACAACCUAGGAUUAUAUAUGUAUAUAGCUUAUAACGUACGUUAUAUAUAUGCACCAUAAUAACAAUAUAUAAUAUAUGUUUAUAAUCUGCUAUAUAUGUUGUAUGAGUUCUUUUGAGAAUUUUGGAAAGCUUAAAUGAAAUUAUUAAGAACUCAUGAGCUGCUUAUAUGUAAAUGUUGGGUACUCUUAAGGAACUAACAACAAGAUUAAGAUAUACUUGACUGCGACUUAAGUAUAGAUUAACCUUAAUUAAACUAUUCCAUAAUUAAGAGUUACUAAAUAUCUUUCAGUUUGAAAGUAAAUAGCUUCAAAAUUGGGGACAAGAUUGAAAAAUAAAAUAAAAUAAGAGGGAGGUCGUUGCACGACCCCCAUUUCAAGACCAAAAGAGAGGGAUAGAAGAAAGAGACGAGGGGAGGGAGGAGACUGAUUUUCAGGCGGUCAAAUCAACAAGAAUCAGGUAUGGUGUCCCUAGCAUCCCUUUUUGCUUUCGGAAAUGGUUUUGAUUCAGUUAAUGCAUAAUUUCACACCAUAUUUUUGGAAUCAUGCUUAUUUCAUGUGCUGCACGUGUUGAUAACUUUUGCUUGACGAAAAAUGGUGCAGACUGGGAUAUUAUGCAAACCCCCAACUAGCUAGUUUGUGAAAUAGCGCCUUUGCAGCUAGUUUUUGAAUUGCCCGAGCCAUUUUGCCAGUCGUCGGCGGCCGACCGUGGCCAGUCCGGCUUGACCACAACUCUAUCCGUGGCCACAUAUUGCUGUUGGUGGUCCGCUUGGCUUGUUUUUGACUUCUUGAGGUGCACUGCGUACCUUGUCUUGUUUGGGAUUUGUUGUGCGCAUGUUCCCAUGCGAAUGAUAUGUUGUCGAUUUUUCCAUCGCCUAUGUAAUUGCAUGAAUAGUUGAAUGUGAUUGCAUGAAUAGUCAACUAGGCAACCUUUAGCAGACCUUAUUAUGUUUCGGGGUGUUGUGCCUUUUGACCAUAGAAGUGUACCGCCAAGAAAUGUUAGAUUGAUCCUCCCUAGAGGGGAAUGAAUCAAAAUUAUAUCUGUUGCAUGGCUUGUUCUUAUACUUGUUACGUACUAUUUAUAGUUGCAUGUUAUAAUGUGGUAUGUGGAUGUGCUGCGUAUAUGACAGGUGGAGGUUGGAGUCAUGACUGACGCCAAUGUGAUGUAACAGACCUAGUGAAUUGCAUAUGGGCAGAUAGAUAGGCUUAGCCUUUGGAUAUGUGUUCUCUUGAUCUCUUGAUCCACUGUUAUGUUUUGUUGGUUCAUGAUUAUUAGUCUGAUGUUAAAGAACCUGACUUGGGCUCCACAGGUCCUGCUCCUUAUCAUGAUCAUCUAGAUGCAUUAAGAAGUAAAUUAUUUAAUUGUUCAUGCGACAUUAUCGUGAAAUGAAGAAAACAUGCAUCAACCUUUUCACUCCAUAACCGCUUUGCCACUCAGUUUCUUAGUUACUCGUAAUGACAUAUAUAUAUAUAUAUAUAUAUAUAUAUAUAUAUAUAUAUAAAUAUCAUAUUUAUAUGAUUUGUGAAUUUAUAUGGUCAGGGUGUGGCCAUAGAAGUCACACGCUACUCACACACAUCACAAUGCAUUGCAUUAGAGCUAAAGCCGCCCAAUAAUUUUUAUCGGGUGGCUGUGGAAGUAGGCCUGAACUAGAAGCUAAAACUCAUUAAAGCUUGGCUGGAGCUCAAGCCGAGUCUUAACCAUGUACGAGUUCAUGACUCGACUGGUUUAUGUAAGCAGAAUGGAGUUGUUCACUGAAUCGGUUAGCUAAAGCGUGACUCGGUUCAAAAGAUAACUGGUUCGAGUUGUUGCAAGAAACGAUUCACACAACUCCUUUUUUAAAUAUUAAACCGCUUUCCAGAUGUGAACGAACGAUCGGGUGGCGGCGGAAUUCUUUCUUUCGCUCCUCCACUCAUCCUCGGUGGUCGUCAAGUCCUUCGUCGCCUUGCCUUGCCUCUUCUUCGACGUUCAUCGAGUUCUUCACUCCCGACUACCGCUCUCCCUGGUCGGCCGCCGCGUCCUCCAACUCUCCGAUGGUUGAUCUCCCGUCCGGCGUCCAUAUCUCGGAAGCUCCUGUGACUACAGUGUCCUGUCGGUUGUCAUUCGUCAGGUUACUCAGGUCUCUCUCUCUCUCUCUCUCUCUCUCUCUCUCUCUUUUUCUCUGCUGUGGGUAGGUGGUAGCCGAACAGCGAAUCGCUUCUUGGUGUCUUGAGCUCCCUUUUCUGUUCCACCGGCAGCCAUCGCGGCCCAUUGCUGUUUACAAUGGCUGCCGAUGGGAAAAAUAAAGGUCGGGGGGGGGGGGGGGUGGUGCUGUUUACCAACAUUAGGGCUCCUUACUAUGUCUGUUUCCCUUUCUCUUCCUCCCGGUAACUUCUAUGCCCAUUGCAGUCGCAGAAUAGAAGUUUUGUUGGAGGAUUUCAUGUAUUCCGUUUUGGGUGUUCUCAUAAGUACCGUCGACUGCAUUUUAUUGUCUUGUUUCCUUUCUUGUGCGAAUUCUGUUGUUGGGUGUGAUGCUUUGGUGAUAUUUAGGCUUUUCUGAUUAUUCUUGCUUUUGCUGAUUCUGUUGUUGGGAUUGGGUUCAUGACGGAUGCCUGUUCUUGGGCCUGGUUUGGAUAUGUUGGUCUUAAAUUUUAACCUUAGUUUCGUGUAUUUUGAUUUUGUUGGUAGCCUGGUCUAGUUUUCAUGAUAACUGCUACUACUUUUAUUGGUGUCGUGUGUAGGGUUUGUUCUCUCCUUGAUGGUGAUCCUCCUCGCUUUUUAUGCUCUCUCUUUCUCCCAUUCUCUUUCCUCUCUCUCUCUCUCUCUCUCUCUCUCUCUCUAAGGAUUUCAACUCUGAUUGACUAUCUUAUGUUCCUUUGAUUUAAUGAGUUUGGUGAUAUCCUUGGUUUAUUGUUUGAAUGAUUUUUUUUUUCCAAAUUGCAGGAUAUUGUCUGAUAUGCAGACACUUACCGCAGAUUGGAUGUCAAGCACAGCCAACCCAGAAGCUGCGUUGGCACCGGUGUAAGUUUCCAGAUUGCAGGAUAUUGUCUGCUAUGGGGAAACUUUUCAGCAGAUUGGAUGUCAAACAUAGGUAACCUACAAACUGAGUUGCCACCAGUGCAGCAUCCAGAUAUGUAUACACAAAACUCUUGGCAAUCCUUGGAAAAGCAAGGCGACAUGUAGAAGCUUUGAACAUUUUUAAAGCAAUGCGGGAAGACUACCAUAUAUAUCCUGAUAUGGCUGCAUACCACAGCAUUUCUGUGACUCAAGGGCAAGCUGGUCUGAUAAAAGAGUUACUGCAUGUAAUUGAUUGCAUGAGGAAACGACCUUCAAAAUUAUUACAAAAAAUGCACUGGAUUCGUUGUUUGGAACCUGAUGUGGUGGUCUACAACUCAGUGUGAAAUGCUUGUGCCACUCAUAAGCAGUGGAAAGGAGCACUGUGGGUGCUUGAAAAGCUCAAGCAUAAUGGCCUAAAACCUUCUUCAGCAACUUAUGGCCUUGCAAUGGAGGUGGGCCGGAUCGGGUCCAGACCCGGACCCAACACGGGGGCUUCUUCCCCCUCGUCUUCCACUUCGUCUUUUUCCUUUGGCUCGACCGUGUGAGAAGAGGAAGGCGGAAGUGUGGCGACAACGAUGAUUGGGCCGGCGGAGGAAGGACAACAGCAGCGGCGACGGCGUUGCACAGCUAGGAGACACAUAUUUCCCCUCAUACCAACGACUAGAAUGCAUUGGUGGUGGAGGCAGUGAUCAAUCGUUGACGUUGGAGCUCAAUCGAACUCUUGAAGUGGCUACCGGGAGCACUACGACAGUUUGAAUUCUAAGAUUGGGGUGAAAAAGGGCUAAUCGAGCUUAGAUUAUUGUAAAUUUUCUGUGGGAGUACGUAUAAUUAUUGUUUGAGCAUGCUAGAAUUAAAAAUUGACGAUUUAGAAGGCAUGCUAAAGAUGUCGCUAAUUUGGGGAAGUUUAUGCCCAUUUUGAGAUGGACGAGGAUCUAUAUGUAUAAGUGUUUUUCUAGCAUGAUGUGUUGAUCUUCGAAGCAAUAGGAAAGCAUGGUAGAGAUUGUGAUGUUAUGGUGAAGGUUUAGAACCGUUUUAGCAAGCUUGGGAAAUAGGCUUCUAUUGAUGUACAUAUGCGUUGUAUGUUGAGAAUCUUAAUGGUGAGGAAGAUGCCUCAACUAAGGAAAACAAGUGACAAUCGCACAUGUGAUAAGUCGAACAUAAGUUUGAGUUCUAAUCGUUGGUGGCAACCUCGAGGGUUGGGAAGAGACCCUUUUCGGAGGGCUUCGUGGGUCGACACUCAUUUGAGGCGAAGACAUGCCUUGAUGAUGGUAUUUUCAGAUUUGUAUCGAUUGUAAGCGAAACAAGUAGAGAACUUACCAUUUGGUAAUGUUUGCAGGUACACCGGGCACGUCUAGUAGGCCUUAAGCAAUGUGGGUCGUAGUUUGAGGUAUUUAGUGGAUGCGCGACAGGUAUGGCGGCAUUCCAGGCAAAUCCCUGCUUGGGCAAUUGUGUGAAUGUGUGUUCCUAAGAUUGUGGGAUCUUAGGAUUGUGAUGUGAUUGAUGGAUUGUUUUGUGAAUGAAUGUGUGUAUGCAUGCAAAUUGUUUGAUAUAUGAUAUGAUUUGUUUUGAAAGACUAUGAGAAGCAUGUUUUGAAAACUGUUACGCAUUUGCAUAUGCAUGCUAGAAUUGAUAACUGCUUAGGACAGAUAAGGUGGGCUAUCGAGUCAAGUGUCUCCUCGACCCCAAUUGUGCAUUAGAAAGCAUCUUAGAAUGAUAACUGCAUAGGACAGCUACGAGUCAAUCACAGAUCGAGACUACUCUUUGUGGUUUGGCUAAGUUUUUCAAAGAGAUAAUUGAUGUGACUGAUGCGAUAAUUGAUGUGAAGGUUGUAUUUUGUUGCAUACACAUUGCCGCGGGCAAUGAUGCAAUUGAUUGAAAUUGAAGGGUAGUUGUACCCGUAUUGUAUGACGGCUAGCUAUGAUUGUUAAUGAUAUGUGUAGACCUCGUGUGGAGGCAAUUGGAGGUGUGGGUGUACUCGUGAAGUGUACCAACCUCAUGAGCUAGUCAGUCAUUUUAUGAAUGUGCUAUUAUAAUGGUAAUAAUGAAAGAAUAAGAGAUG